rnacentral:rRNA from 1 species
GAUGAACGCUGGCGGCGUGCUUAACACAUGCAAGUCGAGCGAUGAAGUUUCUUUCGGGAAACGGAUUAGCGGCGGACGGGUGAGUAACACGUGGGUAACCUGCCUCAUAGAGUGGAAUAGCCUUCCGAAAGGAAGAUUAAUACCGCAUAACGUUGAAAGAUGGCAUCAUCAUUCAACCAAAGGAGCAAUCCGCUAUGAGAUGGACCCGCGGCGCAUUAGCUAGUUGGUGGGGUAACGGCCUACCAAGGCGACGAUGCGUAGCCGACCUGAGAGGGUGAUCGGCCACAAGGGGACUGAGACACGGCCCUU